CCUACGGGUGGAUGCAGUGAGGAAUAUUGGUCAAUGGACGCAAGUCUGAACCAGCCAUGCCGCGUGCAGGAAGACGGCGCUAUGAGUUGUAAACUGCUGUUGUACGAGGGUAAACGCAGAUACGCGGAUCUGUCUGAAAGUAUCGUACGAAUAAGGAUCGGCUAACUCCGUGCCAGCAGCCGCUGUAAUACGGAGGAUUCAAGCGUUAUCCGGAUUUAUUUGGUUUCAAGGGUGCGUAGGCGGUCGGAUAAGUUAGAGGUGAAAUCCCGAGGCUCAACUUCGGAAUUGCCUCUGAUACUGUUCGGCUAGAGCGUAGUUGCGGUAGGCGGAAUGUCUGGUGUAGCGG
rnacentral:rRNA from 1 species